AUUGAACGCUGGCGGCAGGCCUAACACAUGCAAGUCGAACGGUAACAGGAAGAAGCUUGCUUCUUUGCUGACGAGUGGCGGACGGGUGAGUAAUGUCUGGGAAACUGCCUGAUGGAGGGGGAUAACUACUGGAAACGGUAGCUAAUACCGCAUAACGUCGCAAGACCAAAGAGGGGGACCUUCGGGCCUCUUGCCAUCGGAUGUGCCCAGAUGGGAUUAGCUAGUAGGUGGGGUAACGGCUCACCUAGGCGACGAUCCCUAGCUGGUCUGAGAGGAUGACCAGCCACACUGGAACUGAGACACGGUCCAGACUCCUACGGGAGGCAGCAGUGGGGAAUAUUGCACAAUGGGCGCAAGCCUGAUGCAGCCAUGCCGCGUGUAUGAAGAAGGCCUUCGGGUUGUAAAGUACUUUCAGCGGGGAGGGAGGGAGUAAAGUUAAUACCUUUGCUCAUCGACGUUACCCGCAGAAGAAGCACCGGCUAACUCCGU
rnacentral:rRNA from 1 species